rnacentral:lncRNA from 1 species
CGGAGCGGGUGGUGUAUACGGCGGAGUUCACCGUCGACGCGUCCUUCGGCGAGCCCGGCGCGGUGACCGUGCUCAACCGCCACCAGCGGGAGUUCUUUAUCGAGAGCAUCGUCGUGGAGGGCUUCCCCACCGGCCCCGCGCACUUCACCUGCAACUCGUGGGUCCAGCCCACCCGCGUGGACCGCAACCCGCGCGUGUUCUUCACCAACAAGCCGUACCUCCCCGCCGAGACGCCGCCGGGGCUGCAGGAGCUCCGGCAAAAGGAGCUCAGCGACCUGAGGGGAGAGAGCGCCGCCGACGCCGCCGGCGAGCGCAAGCUC